rnacentral:rRNA from 1 species
CGCAAUGGACGAAAGUCUGACGGAACAACGCCGCGUGAACGAAGAAGGCCUUCGGGUCGUAAAGUUCUGUUGUUAGGGAAGAACAAGUACCAGAGUAACUGCUGGUACCUUGACGGUACCUAACCAGAAAGCCACGGCUAACUACGUGCCAGCAG